AAUGAAAAAAAGGGAAAAAGAAAACAUUUGUAAAAAGAAAAUCCAGACAAAGAAACGUUUUGAGUCGAGGCUCAGAUUUUAUCGUGUCAAUCAGGAAGGUGACCAGAGCUAUGGCUGCAACAAAGAAACUAAGUGGUACUGAGAGAGUUGGAGCCAAAAUAAAUAAAUAAACAAAGGGAAAGUAAUUAUUUAGUCCAUGAGGUUCGAAGCAAACAUUGUGCAGCCAAAAACGUUAUUACCCUUUUGAGUGUCUGAUUUCGCUGAUCAGAAACAUCAUCACUGCCUCAAAAACACAAAGAUAGAUAGGAACAUUUUGGUCAUUGUACAAAUUUUCCUGUGAAACAAACAAGGCUUGAAGAGAAAGAUAAAAAGAAAAGGAGGCUCAGAUCAGAUAUCCAAAGAAUUGGACAAGAAAGAAACACCAUUAAACCAUGACUGCAAUUAAGGAAUGACAGAAAUUGAGAGAAACCUCAUUUUGCUUAUUUCCAAAGAUUGCCCCGCCAAGAUAAAUGGUUAUUUAUAUCUAAUCCUGAUUUUUGAUUACUGAUAUAUCAUCAUAGCCUCAUCAAAUAGACAUUAUGUAUAUUAUCUAUGUUGCAUGGAAACGCAGGAACGGAAACGGACAACAUAUGAGAAAUAUCCAGUUUAUAGAAAUGUAUUUUCGAGAGGGGAACAGUGCUUCCAAAUUGCCCAAUUUACAGAAAUUGCCCCGAGGAGUUUCCAAACAUUUCCGUGCAAGAUUGUAUUAUAGAUAGACAGAAUGCAGAGGAAGUUGAUUAAUUAAUUUAUUUAUUUUGUUUAAUGGCUGGUGCCAACAUAAAAAAAAAAAAGAAAUCAUCGACUUAUCUAACAAUCGGACAGGAGGAGUCAACCUCCCUGAAACCUGCCGCCUGCCUGAGAGCAAAGCCUCGUUCCCAAAUUAAUGAGAUACAAGUUUCCAAUGAACCAAACAAGGAGAGAAAGAAAGCAAGGGAUUUGGUAAAUCACAAGGCCCCAUUUGCAAAAUGAAUUUUCAAAUGAAUUUUCAUUUGCACCGAACAUGAAAGUCUAGAUUUGUAAAUGAAUUACUUAAAAUUUUGCAGAAUUCAUUUAAACCAAGAGGGACGACGGAUGGAAAUAUGCUACACUCAUACUGGUUAAGUUACUCCCACUGCCAAAAAUGACAGACAAGCACAAGUACAUCUGGGAAAUAAACUCUAACCUGCCUUUUUUGAGAGAGGUAGGCUCAGAUUCGCCUUUGGUCAGACAGAAAAGAGAACCACAUAACCAUGGCUGCAACAAAAACAGGGAAAAAUGAAAGCUCAAAGUUGCCAAGCCAAAGCUCUGUUCCUUACAACGUCUGUUUUCCACUAAAAAAAAAUCAUCACACCCUCAUAAAAAGGAAAAAUUUCAGCAAACCAAACAUAUACUUAACAGAGAUAGAGAAAUCUGAAGAAAGACAAGGCUCAGAUCAGAUAUGCCUUUGAAUCAGACAAGAAAGAAACAAUGGCAUCACUAUGGCUGCAACUCGCAAAGGCUGCCCCGCCAAGAAUGCUUAAUUUCCUCGAAUCUGAUCUUUUGGGUCACUGAAUAUAUCAUUAUUAUUAUUAUUAUUAUUAUUAUUAUUAUUAUUAUUAUUAUUAUUAUUAUUAUUAUUAUUAUGUUUUAUUUUCCUUCUUCUUUCUUUUCCUUUGGGGCUGUUAGUAAUCUAAGAAGUGAAAAAUCACAGGCUCCGCUACCGAUCAGAGAGGCGGAAGUCAACGACCCGGAAACCAUUCCAUAUCUCUCUGAGAGCAAAACCUCAUUCUCAGCUGGAAUUUCCCCUACCAAAGAGAGAAAUACCUAGCUCUUCUCAUCUUUUCAUUUCAAAUUCUCUAUUUAUGGCGAUAUCACCUUGAUUUGAUUAUUCCAUGCUUAGCCUUCCUUUGUGCUGUAUUUUGUAGAAAACUGAGGGGUAUUAUUGCCAAUCUAUUAUCAUUAUUGCGAUUGGUAAAAAGGGAAUCAAAUGGAGGUCAAUUUUGUAAUCACAAGAACCAAAGUACUCAUAUUCAUCUUUUUACGAGACCGCCACUGGCCUUGGUUAUACGCGUGUGCUUCAUGCGUGAGCGGGUGUAAUGGUUAUCGCUAUCUUGCACCAAAAAAAAAAAAAACAGAACAUCAAUUUUGCUCUCGCCAUCUCAAGAUUGUUUGUGUCUCCAUCUUGACUACAACCCUGGAUGCGCUGCAAACCGAUCACAAUGAAUAAUUAAAAUGAGCACAGAUACAAAGAAGAAUUGCUGUUUGUGGGUAUUACUGCAACUUUCUAGAUUGGGGUUGUUGGAUUCUCGAUUUUGAACAGGAUGUAAUUAUGGGUCUCGUUGAGUAACUUAUCACCUGGGAUGGUUAAUCUCUCUUGCGCUAUGCAUGUUGAUUUUCUUGCAAUUGCAUGUGCGCAGCUAUGUCAACUAGUUUCUUUCUUGUGAAAGUUCAGGAGGAAUCAUGAAUAUUCUUUGUUGGAACUGCCGAGGACUUGGUCACACUCGAGCAGUUAAUGCUCUUAAUGAUCUUAUUCGAUGCCAUAAACCAACGGUCACCUUUCUGUCUGAAACUUUAGUUGCUUUGAAUAAAAUUGAGCAGCUCCGUUGUAGACUUCAUUAUGAUUCCUGCUUUGCUGUGGAUGCUGUGGGACGCAGCGGUGGCUUAGCAAUCUUGUGGAAUUCUCAGGUUAAUUUAGAAAUUCUGCGUUAUUCUUUGCAUUUUAUUGAUAUGAAAAUUACGGAAGCUGCAGGUUUUACUUGGCGCCUCACUGGUUUUUAUGGCAUGCCGGAAAGACAUCGUAGGCAAAUUUCGUGGAAUGUCCUCCGAUCUUUAGCUAGGUUGGAAAAUCUCCCUUGGUUAAUUUGUGGCGACUUUAAUGACCUAAUGUUCGCUGAAGAAAAGAAAGGGCGUAAUCCUCAUCCUCCAUACUUACUACAGGGUUUCUCAGAUACUGUGGCUGAUUGUGGUCUGAUUGACUUGGGAAUGUCGGGGUAUCCUUUUACUUGGGCUCACGGCAGAGGUCAAAAUCGGGUAGAGGAAAGAUUGGACAGAGCUUUGGGAAAUAUUAUUUGGCAGAAUCAUUUUGCUAAUUAUCAGGUCCAGAACCUAGUCUCAAGUAAGUCUGAUCACUCNNNNNNNNNNNNNGUCUGAUGUGGAUUCUAUGGUUAGAGAGAGUUGGGCCAAUAAUGAUGGUGUUGAUGUAACGCGGAAGAUAAAGGUUUGUGGACAACGUCUACAGAGUUGGGGUAGGAGACUAAAGCUUCGGUUUAGGAAGGAUGCAAAGCAAUUGACAGUGCAACUUGAGAAUCUUCGGAUCAACGGUAAUAUUGAACAAUUUGAAGGUGUGCAGCGUAAGCUUGAUGAUGUUCUGUACCGUGAAGAGAUCUUCUGGUCCCAAAGAGCGAAAUCUCAUUGGCUGCAAUCAGGGGAUAUGAACUCUCGGUACUUCCAUGCCACUGCUAAAAAACGGAAGAAAUCAAAGCAGAUAUUUCGGUUGAAGGAUGCUAAUGGCGAGUGGAUAAGCGAUAGCACUAUGUUGACAGGUAUGGUGAGUGACUACUUUGUUAAUCUAUUUAAGGCAGGGAAUGCUGACUUAAGUCCUGUUGUGGGUUUAUUCUCUCCUCUGGUUUCGGAUAAUGAAAACUUUAUGCUUCUUAGAGAUAUUUCUGUGGACGAGGUUAAAUUGGUAGUGAAACAGAUGCACGCGGAUAAAAGCCCCGGAAUAGAUGGUCUAAAUCCUAGAUUCUAUCAGAGAUUCUGGGAUAUUGUGGGUCAUGAUGUUGUUCAGGGUUGUCGAGACUGGUUUAAUUCAGGUGUCUUUCCGGAUAAUCUCAACGAUACCUUAAUUGUGCUAAUUCCAAAAAUAGAAGACCCAGAGGCAGUGAAGGACUUUCGACCUAUUUCUCUUUGCAACGUAGUUUACAAAGUGUUUGCUAAGAUUCUGGCAAACAGGUUGAAGACCAUCCUACCUAAUCUUAUCUCACCAUCUCAGUCAACUUUUGUCCCGGGCCGGUUGAUUUCAGAUAAUGUGUUAGUUGCUUUUGAGCUAAUCCACUCUAUGAAAACACGAAUGACCGGUCAGCGAGGAGCUUCCACACUGAAAGUUGAUAUCUCUAAAGCCUAUGACAGAGUAAACUGGUGCUAUCUACGAGCUGUUAUGCAGGGUUUGGGUUUUCACGAGCGUUGGGUGGACUUGAUCAUGACGUGUGUCUCCUCUGUUAAAUACUGGGUUGGAGUGAACGGGGAUGAGAUUGGCCCGAUUAUUCCAGAACGUGGGUUGAGACAAGGUUGUCCAUUAUCUCCCUACUUAUUUAUACUCUGUGCUGAAGGACUGUCAAAGCUGUUUAGUAAGUCUGAAAAUGAAGGUCGCCUCACCGGCUGUAGAGUCUCGAGAGCUGCGCCCCGGUUAUCUCACUUGUUGUUUGCAGAUGAUAGUUUGUUCUUUUUCGAGGCAUCACGAAUUCAAGCUCUAGAGAUAAAAAAUAUCCUAGUUACUUAUGAAGCAGCUUCGGGUCAAGAGGUAAAUUGGCAAAAAUCCGGCAUUUUUUUCAGCUCUAACACUUCGGCAGUGGAUAAGGAUGCCGUGACAGGAGUUUUUGGUGUACUUGCUCCUUUGAACCACGGAAGGUACCUGGGCUUGCCCUCGUUAGUUGGUCGGGAAAAGAGGCGUAUCUUUUCUUUUUUGAAGNNNNNNNNNNNNNNNNNNNNNNNNNNNNNNNNNNNNNNNNNNNNNNNNNNNNNNNNNNNNNNNNNNNNNNNNNNNNNNNNNNNNNNNNNNNNNNNNNNNNNNNNNNNNNNNNNNNNNNNNNNNNNNNNNNNNNNNNNNNNNNNNNNNNNNNNNNNNNNNNNNNNNNNNNNNNNNNNNNNNNNNNNNNNNNNNNNNNNNNNNNNNNNNNNNNNNNNNNNNNNNNNNNNNNNNNNNNNNNNNNNNNNNNNNNNNNNNNNNNNNNNNNNNNNNNNNNNNNNNNNNNNNNNNNNNNNNNNNNNNNNNNNNNNNNNNNNNNNNNNNNNNNNNNNNNNNNNNNNNNNNNNNNNNNNNNNNNNNNNNNNNNNNNNNNNNNNNNNNNNNNNNNNNNNNNNNNNNNNNNNNNNNNNNNNNNNNNNNNNNNNNNNNNNNNNNNNNNNNNNNNNNNNNNNNNNNNNNNNNNNNNNNNNNNNNNNNNNNNNNNNNNNNNNNNNNNNNNNNNNNNNNNNNNNNNNNNNNNNNNNNNNNNNNNNNNNNNNNNNNNNNNNNNNNNNNNNNNNNNNNNNNNNNNNNNNNNNNNNNNNNNNNNNNNNNNNNNNNNNNNNNNNNNNNNNNNNNNNNNNNNNNNNNNNNNNNNNNNNNNNNNNNNNNNNNNNNNNNNNNNNNNNNNNNNNNNNNNNNNNNNNNNNNNNNNNNNNNNNNNNNNNNNNNNNNNNNNNNNNNNNNNNNNNNNNNNNNNNNNNNNNNNNNNNNNNNNNNNNNNNNNNNNNNNNNNNNNNNNNNNNNNNNNNNNNNNNNNNNNNNNNNNNNNNNNAAGAGAGUUUUAUCAUGUGUCUGUGGAGUGUUUGGCUGAGCCGUAAUGAACUAAAAUGGAACCAAGUGGAAGAAGGACCUUAUCAUGUGGUUACUCGAGCUAGAAGAAUAUUGGCAUCUUGGAAGAAAGCCCAGCUGAAGCUGUCAGGUUCGGAUACCGGCAUAGGUACCUCUGGAGGUAGUCAAUGGUUCCCGCCACCUACUGGUACUUUUAAAAUAAACUUUGAUGCCGCUCUUCUCCCCUCUGUCGGCCAUGGAGCUGUUGGUGCUGUAAUCUCAAACUGCCAUGGCGGGUUCGUUUCAGCAGCAACGUCAUCACUACAAGGCUGUUCUUCUCCAGCAGUAGCAGAAGCUCAGGCACUAAGAAAAGUAUUAUCAUGGGUGCUUUCCGGUCAUCCUAAUCUGACGAUUCAGGUUGAGACUGACUGUCUGCAAGUUUAUCAUGCUAUGAAAAGUUCUGCAAACGACUGGUCUGAGUUUGGCGUUGUCAUUUCUGAAUGUAAACUACUAUUAGUCCAAUUGCCUAGUGUCUCCUUGGCUUGGAUUAGAAGACAAGCAAAUGAUAUAGCUCAUGUGUUGGCUAAAUCAGUUCCUAGUGAGGCUUGCUUUCAAAUUUGGGAUGAUGCUCCCAAUUGUAUCGCUCAUUUCUUUCAUUAAUAAUAUGAAUCAUAAUUCAAAUGUCAAAAAAAAAAACAAUGCUCCUCUUUACACUUCUUUGAGGAUAAAUAUUAAAUUUAAUCCUUAACAUUUAAUUAAUUUAAAAAAUUCUAUAAAUUUAGUCACUUUUAUUAAAAAAUUAACAAUUUUUCCUGUCAAAAAACAAAAAAAUUAAAAAUUUUCUUUUCUUUUAUUAAAAAUAUUAAAUGUUAAAAUAGACAAAAAAAACUCAAAUAUAAAAUAGGAAUAAAUAGCUUUAUUUUUUCUUUUCAAACAAAUUUCAACAAAAAAAAAAAAAAAGAAUUUUCAAUUAAAUAUUCUAUUAGUUUGAACUUAAAUUAUUAGAUCAGCUCAAGUCUGAUUAUUUUAAGUUUGAUAUCCAAUCAAGAAAUAAAAAAAUUAAUCAGUCCAAAUUGUCAAUUUCCCAUUCUGUUAAAGCUCAUACAGUUCACACGCAGUCCCAUUGCGGUCACUCGCCGCCGUUUGGUUCGAAGUCAUGGCCUUUUCCGGUUGCCUAUCACCGGCAGUUAUGAUCAUUGACUCUAAAAAAAAAAAAAAUUGAAAGUUCCAAAUGAGCUGAAUUAAAAAAGAACUGAUCGAGAAAAAAGCAAAAAGCUGAAACGAGAGGGAGAUAAUUAAGGAGGAGGCUCAGAUCCGGAUACUAUAUGAUCAGGCAAGAGAAAGGUGAAGCACUACCGCCAUGGCUGCGACAACCGGUUGCCAGCGAAAAUGGUCGUUUUCAUCGGCCAUCCGGGUCGCCCCGCCGAUAAGAAGCGGGUACUUUCGCCAUUUGUUGCCUAAUUGGACACUCUGGAAAAGAACGUAUCAUCACAGCCUUAUAUGUAUGUGUCUGCAUCAGAAAGGGAAUGAUAAAGAAAAAGAAAAGAAGAGAACACUUUGUAUGGAGAGAGAGAGAGAUUGGACCGAUGAAAUCAUCGGCCCCGAUAAGAGCCUCAUUCGUUUUCCAGUCAGUGUCAAAACCCUAGGUUGGUCUCUGCUCUUUGUUUAGAGGGGGCUUGGUUUUCCAAUCUUCCGUUUUUGCCCUCUGGUGGUUGGCUUUGGGCUUCUGGCUUUUUAGUCGUUAAUGGAUAUUGGAUAUGGAAGGAAUCUUUUGAGUAAUUUUCGUACGAUUAAGUGCACGUCUCAGUUAAACUUAAUUGCAAUAUAUUAAUGAGAGGGUUUAAUUAAGUAUUAAGUCUUUGAACUUUUAUUUCUAUUAAAAUUAAGUCUUUAUUUUAUUUCUGCAACCAUGACAGUCAGUGGCCCGAACUAAAAAAAAUAAUUAGAGAGAGCAAAAAGAAAAUUUCAAAAUUGAGAGGUACGGUAUCAAAAGAAAUCAUUAUUUUAUAAAUAAAAAGUAAAAUUUUCUAUAUUUUAAAAGGUAAAUUUCAAAAAGAAAAAUUUAAAAUAAGGGGACAGCCGGCGGUAGCUCCACCACUGAUGACAUUGAAUAAAGUUCAAGGUUGACACUAAGUAUGGAUGUGCAAGAAAAUUGCUAUAACAGUUUAUAGCUCAGCAAAAUCGAAGCAUUGAAGGUGGUGAAAGUGGAGCAUGUGCGGUGGUUUGGAGUAUGAGAAGCAGUGAAAACUAAAAGGUAUAAGAAAUUGAAAUUGUGAAAGUUUAUUUUUCCCAAGUCCUAUUUUUAAUAUUUUAAUAACAGGCCUGAGUUAAUCGGGUCUGUGCGAAUUGAUCGGUUUAACAAUGGAUUAGCAGAAUUCAGUUCUUUCUUAUAUGGUUCAAAAGUAGACUCUGGUUUAUAAGGAAAAAAUUUGAAAUCAACGACAAAGUAGAAAUUCGAAAACAAUAAAUUUAUAAGGAAAAAAUUCCACAAAUGCAAAAAUAAACAAAAUCCUCUGGAAAUGGAAAAAAUUAUCAACUCCAUGAGCAAUUACACGCUUAUCUCUAUAUAUAUUCCAAUGCGUAAUCUUAACACCAUUAAUUGAAAAAUUAUCUAGAUCAUCAUAGUCAAAAUUAAUUUUAUGAACUAGAUUGGCUAGAAAGUAGAAAUUCGAAAACAAUAAAUUUAUAAGGAAAAAAUUCCACAAAUGCAAAAAUAAACAAAAUCCUCUGGAAAUGGAAAAAAUUAUCAACUCCAUGAGCAAUUACACGCUUAUCUCUAUAUAUAUUCCAAUGCGUAAUCUUAACACCAUUAAUUGAAAAAUUAUCUAGAUCAUCAUAGUCAAAAUUAAUUUUAUGAACUAGAUUGCAAAUAUUCGAUUCAACAGAUUCUUUGAAAGUGAAUCCUGAAUUAAAAACCUGUUGAUCAACUUUUGCAAGAACAAUUUGAUGGGCGAGAUCAAUCUGGUCCUGCAAAUCAAGAAUAGCUUCAUUUCGAGCAGCAAAGAAGGUGAUAGAAACGUUUUUUCUUACGCUAUGGCUGAGAGGGUCGCGACGAGCUCUGCGCUGGGUGUAGCAUUGGGUUAUUAAAUUGAAACCUGAAGCUUCAAGUGCUUUUGCCAUUAAAAGGUUGAGUGAAUCAUUUUCUUUUCCACCGUACAAUUUUAGGGAAAGUAUAUUUUACAUCAGUUAAGGCUCCAGUUUUGAGGAAAAAGUCGGUUACAGUUCUAGGAUUACGUUGCUGUGAUGCUUAAGAUGAGGAGGAGGAAGAAGAGAAGAAUGGAUUGGAUUGAAGCCAUUAAAAGAGAAACUGAAGAAGAAGAAGAAUAUAAACAAACUGAAUUGGCCACAUAAACAAACAGAGAAAUGGAGACAUUUGUUAAGUUAUUGACUGAAAAUCUUAAAACUUUUUCUUAGAAAAAAAAUCGAAAAUAAAAGGAAAUUAAAAAAUACAAGCACAAACGCGUAGCAGUUAACAAAUUUAUUUCCACUAAUUCUUUUGGAAUGGUAAAAAGAUGUAAAAUCUCUAAGGUCUCAAUUUGAGUGCAACUAUUUUUAUUCAUUCUAAUAAAACUUACUGUAACUUAUCAUCUGAAACUUUCUGUUAUGGACAUUGGCGCCCAGAGUGUCAUCCGCAUAGUGAAUUCUUUGACUGUACUUUUAACAAGGUUAUAUUAUAGGAGGUAAUGCUGUUACGGGAAUUAAAAUCUUCGAAAAAUUAACCCAAAGCGAUAAUUACUAAAUUAAUUCAUCACCAGUGGUAACCAUCUCCUUACUAUGAUCCCCACAUGCUAGUAUGGAUGAUCAAGCUACACAAGAUAUUCAUAGUUUAAAAGUUUGUUUAUUUCAUAGUUGAAGGUUAAAUGAGAGGUAAUGUUGUUAUGGGAAUUAAAACCUCCGAACAAUUUAUCUUUAAUAAACCAACAAAUUUGGGCGGAUAUGGAGUUAGAGGCCUACAGGUUAUAAAUGAUGCAGGAUUUGGAUGUGUUAAUCUCCAUUUUAAAAUUUUGUAUCCGGUCUAUUUGAAUUUGCUUCUUCUAAGUGGUGAUGAAAGCUGCGUCAAUGAAAACAUAACUCUAAUUCCUCAAUUCGGUAAUCAAUUCUUUUAUUGUAUUGGUAACAUGAUAAAUCCUCAUUACGGAUACAACGGAACAAUGUACUGGCACUACUAUAUGUAGUUCCAGUACAUUGCAUUCGUAUUGAGGAUCUAUCAUGUUACUAAUACAAUAAGAGAAUUGGUAACUAAAUGGAGGAAUUAAAGCUUAUGUCCUCAUAGCAGCACUAAUCAUCACUUGGAGGGAGAAGUCCAAAUACACUAAGUACAAAAACUUGGAGGGGAGGAUCAACCUUUUCAACACAUGCAAAUCCUACACCAUUUACAACCUACAGGUUUUUGAAUCCAUUUCUGCCCCAGUCUACUUGCGUUACUAAAGAUAAAUUUUUAGGAGGGUUUAAUUCCCAUAACAUCAUUAUAUCUCAUAUAACCUUGAACUAUGAAAAAAAAAAAAAAAAAAUGAGCUUUUGAACUAUGAACAUCUCGUGCAACUUGAUUGCUCGUACUAGCAUUUAGAUUGUAGUAAAGAGAUGAUAACAAAUGAUGAGAAUUAAUUUAGUAAUUAUGGAUUUGUGUUAAUUUGGUAAUGUCAGUGGUAAAAGUAAAUGUAAAAUUAAUGGUUAAUGUGAUGAAAACAAUCACUCAAAGAGAGAAAAUAAGUGUUAAGAAGAGCUUGACUAAAUUUCAUGUGAUUUAUGUAUAUAAUUGGACAUGUAAUGCUCUAUGUGAUCACAUUACAUGGAUGAAUUGUGCAGUUUAAAAAGCAAAACACUCACACUUUUGAGCAACCAAUUCUGAAUAUGCACAUUUCAAAUGCAAUACCUAAUUCAACUAAAAAAGGACAUUAUUAUUCGUAUGAUCAAAUUAGAAUAUUAUUGGUCAAUAUAAAUUAAUUGGUUACUUCAACAUUAACCUAAUUAAUUAAUUAAAAAAAAAUUUACGUGCUAUUCUUAUCAUCAUGUCAUUCAAUAACUUGUAAGAAAAAAAAUUCCAUAAAAAUGCAAAAAUAGACAAAAUAUUAUUAGAUUAUCAUGAAAAUCAAUUCUCUAGAAAUGAAAAAAAAGUUGUCAACUCCAUGAAUAAUUAUAUGAUCAUUUCUAUAUAUAUUACAAUCCGUAAUCUUAACACCAUUGAUUGAGUAAUUAUUUAAAUCAUGAUCGUCAAACUUAAGUUUAUUCACUCCAUUGCAAGGAACAAUUCAACAUAUCCACCAAAAAGAAUACCCAGAAUGGAAAACUUCUCGAUCAAUUUUAGCAUAAACAGUUUGAUAGGUAAGGUCAAUCUGGUCUUUAAAAUCAACAAUAGCUUCAUUUCGAGGAGCGAAAAUGGUGAUAGUAAGGUUGUCUGCACCAAGGCCGAGAUACUUAUGGUGAUCUCUUUGCUGAGUGCAGCAUUGAAUUAAAGGAUCUCUGGAUCAUUUUCGAUUGUUUUAAGUAUACGGGGGAGUCUGGGUUUAAACUGAGUUGGGACUCUAUAGAGAUAUGUUGGUGUGGAGCUUAAUAUGAGGAGAAAGAGAAGAAUGUAUUGAAUACAAGUCAUGCAGCUGAAUAAUAAUAAUAAUAAUAAUAAUAUUAUUAUUAUUAUUAUAUGUUUAUUUUGUUUACUGGGUUUUAUAAUUCUCAGACUCAUGGAAUUAGGAUUUGUGAUCAAAGACUCCCUAUUCGAUAUUCUAAAGGAUAUGCUGACGUUCAAUUGUCAAUUUAUAGAUAAUUUUAAAACUUUUUUUUUCCUUUUCAAAUAUAUAAUUGAUUUUCAGAAAUUUGUAUUAGUGGGAAUAAAACCCAUAAACUCAAGUGUACAUAAUUUGUUCACAGAAAUAAGUAAUGAUAACUAGUUAACAAGAAUCACAAUAAUGCAAUGAGAUUAAAACGAACAUGCAUUUUUUUUUUUUUUUUCUGUCAGUGGUAAGAGUUAUUUUUUAAAAUUCUUCAACUUAGGAUUUUAUUUUAUUUUUUUCCAUUCUAUAUUUCAGGAAUCAAAAACAUUGUUAGUAAUUCUCAAUAAAUACCUCAAUAGAUGAAUCCCGCGCGUAUAUGAACAUCAAACUAGCUAAAGAACAUCAAAAUGUUGUUUCUUUUCCAAAUAGUAUCUAAAAUGGUGUUUUUUUUCAUAAUGCUAAGUAGAUUCUAACCAAAGGAUAGCAUUUUCCAUUGGUGGAAGUGCAAGGGCCAUGGAGAAUUCACAAGAGAAAUUUCUUGCAGUAAACUGACAGCUAAUUCAAGACAGGCUAAGAUAAUAAGAUCAUUCCAUUAUGAUGCUAUGUUGCCACAUUUGAAUAAUAUAUGCUCUUCUUCUAUUGAGGUUAUAUCUCCAUUGACAGAAACCCAAGUUUCUGCAAUUUUGUCCACUGUCCCUUCAAGAAUCUCAACCAAAGUAAAUCCUCGCCAUGUCCCUCUAGAGUCCGUUGAGCUUCUGUCGUCACCGCUGAUUCUUUUAACUCUGGGAACAAUAGCCCCAUUCAGGUAUAUAGUCUUGUCACUGCCAACCACAAGCAUUUUUCGUAGACCAUUUCCAUAUGCCAGCUCUUUAUGCAUAUGGCCGAACACAAUCAGAGGGAUAUUCAAACUGGUCUUCUCCUUUAAGUGGGAAAUUGCUUGAGCUAGAUCUGUACCAGAGGAUGAGGAUGUUCUUGUAAAUAUAAUGGGGUGAACAUUUAUUCUAUAUUAUAGACAAAUACAUUGCAUCUUAUAACACAUUUUUGGUUUUGUUCCCUAUGCAUAUCUAAUGACUUCAUGCUCCUUUUAAGUUGCUAAUCAUUUAAGGCUAAACUAAUUAUACAUAACAAUCACAUCAAUGCCCAGAAUGAAUUGUAUUGCAUGGUGCACUAAUUUAGUGAAUUAACAAAGCUGAGACACCUAUAAAAGCACAUGAAUUCAAAAAAGUUACCUGGAUCACCAUAAUCACCGCCGCCAAACACCCAAUCUUUUCCACAAAUGUCGUUCAAAUUAGAACCAAGACCUGAAAAAAGGCAAUUAAGGCCAAAAAUAGAUAUCAAUAAAAGCUAACAUUUUGUCGUGAAUUUUGGCCAGCUGAUCACCUGUGGGCCCAUUAUGUGCGAGCAAUAUAAGUAGAUGGUCUUCUGGAGUGCCCAAAGCGGUAUGAUAGAUUCUCAUGGCACUUCCAUCCAUGUCCUGGACUCCAUAUCUGAGAGAGUAUUCCAAUUUUAGAAAGUUGCAGAAUGAGCAAUAAAAUCAAGCAACAGACUACAUGGAAAAGAAAUUAAAGAAAAAAAGAUUCAAUAUUAGCUAAUCCAUUCAUUCAUUUGAAAUCUAACUCGGGUCUAGUGAAGUCACACGAAUUUGAAUUGCAAAGAAACAUGAUUAAAUUUUGUGAUUUUAAUAUCAAGGCAAAUACUAAGCAAGAUAUAGGAGAGCAAGUCACUGCUGAAUUUGUUUCUUUGAAAAAUAAGAAAGAAAACAUGAAGAACUGUGACAUUUAAAGAUUAAAAUGCCAUAAACCUUCAUUCUUUUCGGGUUUUAUAAGUAGACAUGAAAAGUCCACAAUAAUGAAUGGAAAGAAAACAAAGAAUAAUCGAAUUUUGGAAUUUACUUCAACCAAUACAAACCUUGCAGACAGAAGUUUAUUCCGAAAUAGCUGCUCACCACCACAUGAAAAUGGCCGUCCACCAACAACACUAAGUUUAAGCUCAGGGAAAUCCAAACGUUUGUAACCUACAUGUUCUUUGCCAAGACUGACCAUUUCCAAAAAGGUAUUUCAUUCAACAAAUAAAUUACUUCAGAGUAGAGUCCCAGCAUGAUGUGCAAUGUGCUGGAGGAGAUGUAUUGAAACAGUUCUAUAUCUUUCUAUCACUAUAUUAUAUAUUGCAUGCACGCAAUUUGUAAUGAAAGUGAUAUUGAAGGCCAUAUAUAAAUGACUCAAAUACGAGUAGAUGCAUAUAUGCAAUAUCCUCUCAUUAUUUGAGAUAUUUUUUUUAUUUAAUUUUUCAUAGAAGAAAGGAAUAGAUGAAUUAUUUGAAAUAUACAUGACUUACACUCUGUAUGGAAAAAAUAUCCAGUCCAAAGGAAUAAUAACAGUUCACAGAUAUUAUAAAACCUUUCCAAGUCAAUUUACCGUUCCCCCUUUCUUCUCUCUCUACCCUUCCUUCUACAUAGCCAGUUUCAUAUUCAAUACCAACUGUCUAAGUAGGAAGCGGAUAACAAUACUCCAAUAACACCAAAGAAAUGAAUGAAACAGUAAUCCUACAUGAUUCUUAAUGCUGACAUGUCAAGCAAUAUAAAGAAAGAGAUACUAUAAGCAUAAAGAUAAGAGCAAAAUUGGAAUAUUUUUAGAUGUAAACAUCUACUUCAUGCUAAUGAAGCUAUAAAAAGCAGCAUAUAGAACAUUUGCGUUGCUCAGGGACAAGAUAAGCUCACCAAUCCAGCUGAAGUUGAACACCAUCCUUUGUCCUAAUAUUCAAAUAAAAAUAAUAAUAAUGUAGAAUGAAUUAACUUUAUGUCAGGAAUAUGAAAACAUACUCCUAUGGCCUAUUUUACAAAACUCAGAGAAUAAGGCUAGCUAUCUGCAAUAUAUCACAUAAACACAAGUACAAACAAGAAAUAUACUCUUAUAAAAAAUUUCAAACAACUUGGGAACUUCCUUUGUUUUUCUUUCUUUCUUUAUUCAGAUUACCCGAUUAACAUUGCAUAAAAGAACUGAAACGGCUGUUUAUAUUAUUAACAUCGCACAUAAGAACUGAAACAACUGUUUAUUAUAUUUAACAGUACCAGUCCCCAUAAAUUUAAAAAAGAAAAUUGCCCAAAGCAUAGAACAAACAACUCAUUUUAAUACAUAGAACCAAUGAAUUAGAUGCAAUUAUAAAGUGGGCUGCAGCAAUACACACUUACUUUUGAGAGAACUUCUGAGUAUACCAGGAAUCAUGAUUUCCCAAAAUAACUGCUUUAGGAAAUUUAAGAUCUGCAACACUUUGGACGAGCUCUACAUUCUCAUUACCAAAAUCACCUAAACAAGGCCCAAGGAGAGGGGAGGACAAGAAAACAAGAAAAAAAGGCCAACAAGCCUAAUAGGUUAGAUUUAACAUUUUACUAGUAAUGUUGCAAACGCAUACUCAGAAUGACUGGUCAUGGUACAUAUUAGGCUGAUUUUCAUAAGUCUAAUGAACAUGUAUAUAGUGCAUCUGCAUGCACUAUGUGUCAAUAUGAACUGAAAAUUGUUGGUGUCCCACAUGGAACCAGAUCCCUUUUAAAUAUUUCCUUGAUAUUUGGCUUGUCAGUGAAGACAGUCAAAAAGGGUUGUGAAGGCACCGUGUAUGAAUUAAAUGAGGACCAGCCAAAGACACCGUACAGGUAAAAGGUGAUUGAGAAGAAAACCUGCCUGUAAACAGCACCAAAUCCAGCUGCAUAAUGCAACAUAUAUUAGGUAGGUAGAGGAUAGCUAUGCACAAAAAUAAUAGGAAAUGCUCACGGAAAAUCUAAAAGAAAAUUGAGAGAAAAAAAAUGGCUGCUUAAAGGCAACAACACCAAGCUAUAAAGAGUUUGUUGACCCACAACAACUUAAUCUUACAUGGAAUUUUUACUAAAAUCAAUUUUUAGAAUUGUGAAAUGAAUCUCAAGAUGGACUCCCAAAGUUAGCUAAACUCAAAUAGGCACUACAAAAAGCUUGAAUAGUCCAUGGCCCAAAUAAGCACAUAGCAACCUCAACUUAAACUCAAUGUCAGUCCUGCUUAUUUACAUCCUUAAUGCAGGAUUGUUCACCUGUGUUACAUUUUACCUACACCAAUAUUUUUAAAUAUGAUAUGUAUGCAUAUGUGAGUGUCUUUAGUUCCAGCAGAAACUAUCCUUCAAUGCAGAAAAAGAGAAAUACAAGAAAAGGGACACUAUGAUGAGCAUCAACUUAAUUAAGGGUGUCUUUUGCAUGCCAAAGUUUAGUGGUUUUAACUGAUACAGACAACCCAAUAUAAUGUCGGCAUAACCACCUGUGUCUCUUGAUUGCAAUUGGGAGAAGCAAUGGUUGGCACCAGCAUCAAGUUCAUAGAAACCCUACAUUGAAAUUCUGUACUUUCAAUGUGGGAUCCAAGUCCCAUAAAUUAUAAUUGGGAUAAUAACAUCCAAUCUUUUUCUUCUCUUGGAUCCAUGGAUCAGGCCCACCAAAGUACGGCCAUCCAUUACCGUCUUUGUCUAUUUCUCAUGACUCCCAAAUUCAUGUUCAACGAUGCCAUCUAAAUUCACUUUCCAUAGAUAUAUUGCAUUUUGGCCCAUUAAUGAACCCAAAAACUCUGCAAAACCUCUACAGAACACCUAAAAUGAAUUGUGACAGAUGACUCCUAUUUUCACAUUACAAAUCCCAAAAUCAGUGCAGAUGUUUUCUCCUCAAUUACAAGGAAAAUUACUUUUUAGUUAUGAACACGAAUAUAUAGAAUUAUAGAGUAAUAAACGCCCAUCCCCCCGACAGACAGACAGACAGACAGACACACACACACACACACACACACAAAAGCGAAGAGAAGUACCUGCAGAAGUUGAAGAGCCUUUGUAUCCUCUUCUAGAUUCCAAUCAUCAUGCUUCAAAAAAACCCCAGAAUUUUCAAAAAAAGAAACAUAAUUUGCUGAAUAAAAAUUUUCCAAAAAUGAAAUGAUUCCACAAUUAAAACUUAUAUUAAUCAAUUGCUAACCACACCAACAAAACCAAAGAUAGGGUUUCCAAGUUGAAAACGGAACACAUGCUUCGAAGAGCAAAUAAAUGCGAGAGAGAGAAACUCACUACGUCUCCGACGACAGCUACUCGAGCCGACGCCGACAUUGAAGAGCAAUGGGUGGUUCUCUUAGAGGAAAGGAAGGGGCGAGUAUGAAAAAAGCACGGAGUGGGCGCGUGAAGAAACGCGCUCAAGUUUGCCAUAACAUAACCUUCGCUUCCAAUUUGGCGCGCUAUUUUUACUGGCAAAUAAAGGAGUAGGUGGAACUUUAAGCCGUUAAACUAACACUAUUGCUGUCCACGUCACUGCCGUUCCGUGUAAAAUACUGUCAAAUGUCAUUCUCAAGCUAUGACUCAUUUUUCAAAAUUAAAUGGCAAAAAAAUAACAUGGUCAAAGAAAAAAAAAAAAGAUCAACCAAGAUGGAUUUGAGCAUGUGAUAUCAAAGCAUUUUUCAGCAUCCUUAUUGUUUCCUAAGUCAAAUUUUCAUCUUCUGUUAUUGUAACACGUCAAAAUGUCAAUAUGAAGCUCAAAUAUCUCAACCCAAAUUUCUCUAAGCUACAUCCAAGAUUUUCCGAAGGUGACAUCUUUUACUACAAAAUAAAUUGUUGACUAUAAAAUAAAUUGACUGUAAAAUUUUCGUUGUUUCAUCUUUAUCGGUCUUAAUCAAUACAUUGUUCACUCUAAAUAUAUAAAAAUAUAAAGAUGCACAUAUACACUCGUAGAGACAAUAUAAUAAAAUAUAAGAUUCUUAGAGCCAGUUAACUUUUAUAUAUAUAAUAUUUAUUUUAUAUUUUUAAAAGGAUAUUUUUUAUAUUUUUCAACUAUAUCUAAUUUGAUAUAUCUAAUUUUUACAUUUUACAUUAUUUUUACAUUGUUUGAUAUAUAAUUUUUCUAAGUUGAAAGAUUACGAAAUUAUAUCUAAAAUAUAUCUGUCAAAUAUCUGCCCUAUCCAAUUCUCUCAUUUAAAUAUUUUACAAAGAAACAAAAAAAAGAAACAGUUACGUGUCAGAAGACUUGAGCUAUCAUCAAAGUCAAAACAUAAAUAGGAAAUCAAGAACUUUUCUUCAACAAGAACCUAACAAGAACCUAAAUUCUCAGGCACAAAUUAACAGCUAAUAAGCAUAAGCUCUUUCUUUCUUCUUUCAUGGCUAUCAAAACCACCGUUGCCCUCCUAAUAUUUCUAAUCACUCUCAAUUUUCAUUUCUUGGAGGCAAAAGAUUGGAUCAAAGCAGCAUACUAUGAUUCAUCAAGUAACCUCCCUGCAUCUGAAGUAAAUUCUGCUCUUUUCACUCACAUUUUCUAUGCUUUUGUUGCUAUAAACACUUCCACUUACCAGCUUUCGUUCCCCUUCUCUACUGAAUCAUCUCUCUCAACUUUCACAGUUAACAUUAAACGAAACAACCCAUCUGUCAUUCCAGUUCUGUCAAUAGGACUCGGAUAUGGAGACUAUUCUCCAUUUUCUUCCAUGGUUAGCAAACCUUCUUAUAGGAAGUCUUUUAUCAAGUCUUCAAUGAAAAAAGCCAGGUUUUACGGAUUUGGUGGCCUGGACCUCUGUUGGGUAUGGCCUAACACAACAUCUGACAUGGAAAAUAUUGGAGUUCUUUUAGAUGAAUGGCGUGAAGCUAUAAAUUUUGAGUCAAGAAACAGCACUGUUACUUCUGAGCCAAAACUUAUCCUGACAAUGGCUAUUUAUCGCCAGCCAACUAUUGCCGAUACGAGUUUCCCAGUUGAAUCCAUGCAAAGAAACUUGGAUUGGGCAAAUCUUAUAGCAUAUGAUUAUCAUUUGCCUUUAAAAGAGAAUAUUACAGGUAAUCAUGCAGCUUUAUUUGAUCCUUUAGGUCAUAUUAGUACUGAUUCUGGUAUAAAGUAAUGAUUAAGGAGAGGAUUGACAUCAGAAAAGCUGGUUUUGGGUUUGCCUUAUCAUGGCUAUGCAUGGAAAUUAGUGAACUCAAAUGACAAGUACUCCAUUGGUGCACUAGCAUCAGGACCAGCGCUUACAAUGGAUGGUUCAAUAGGCUACAAGUUGAUCUUAAUUAUGGCUAUGGAGCCAUUUCAAGCUACAAUGCUACAUAUGUAGUUAACUACUUUAGCAUCAAAUCAAUUUGGAUCAAUUUUGAUGAUGUUGAGGUUAUUCAGACUAAAAUUUUAUAUGCUAAGACAAAGGGAUUGCUUGGGUACAAUGCUUUUCAGCUUGGAAACGAUGAUGAUAACUGGGAGCUUUCUCGAGCUGGUAUGGAAAUUGUUCAUCUAUUACCUAAGUUCUGUUUGAUACUUUUUGUUGAGAAAAGUAAUCAUAAAAGCUUGAAAGCAGCUAAAUAAUACUCUCCAACUACUUUUUCUAACAGCAUAAAAAAUUUUAUUUUUCUGAAGAAAUAGUUGCAAUCUCUAUGCCAGACACUCGUAUAUAUAUAUUUAUAUGCACUGGAAUGAGGUAUUUAAAUCAUUUCUGUAAGUUGUUUUGUGUAUCUUUCUAAUACCUGGAAUAAAUUGGCAGCUUAUGAGGUUGGUGAAGUUCAUGAAAGGAAAAAGCAUUUAUGGAUUAGAGUUUCAAUCCCAAUUGCAAUGAUUACUCUGCUGAUCCUACUUGGGUUUCUAUCAUAUUAUAUAAAAAGCAGAAAACUUGAAUCAAAAGGUAAAGAUUUUCUUAUUUUUGCCUACUUAGACUCCAUUGUUUUGCUUUCUUUAGAAAUAGGUAAAUAUCUAUGAACAUGAUUCUUGACAGCAUUUGGAUUCUCUCUGUGUUUUAUGUUUCAGGGAAACUGAGUUUUGGUGAUACAGCAGUUGAUGAAUAUCAGUACCAAAAUGCUCCAAAUUUGCAAAUAUUCAAGUUUUCUGAAAUCAAAGCAGCUACAGGCAACUUUUCAUGCGAAAAUAGGCUUGGAGAGGCGCUUACAAUGGAUGGUUCAAUAGGCUACAAGUUGAUCUUAAUUAUGGCUAUGGAGCCAUUUCAAGCUACAAUGCUACAUAUGUAGUUAACUACUUUAGCAUCAAAUCAAUUUGGAUCAAUUUUGAUGAUGUUGAGGUUAUUCAGACUAAAAUUUUAUAUGCUAAGACAAAGGGAUUGCUUGGGUACAAUGCUUUUCAGCUUGGAAACGAUGAUGAUAACUGGGAGCUUUCUCGAGCUGGUAUGGAAAUUGUUCAUCUAUUACCUAAGUUCUGUUUGAUACUUUUUGUUGAGAAAAGUAAUCAUAAAAGCUUGAAAGCAGCUAAAUAAUACUCUCCAACUACUUUUUCUAACAGCAUAAAAAAUUUUAUUUUUCUGAAGAAAUAGUUGCAAUCUCUAUGCCAGACACUCGUAUAUAUAUAUUUAUAUGCACUGGAAUGAGGUAUUUAAAUCAUUUCUGUAAGUUGUUUUGUGUAUCUUUCUAAUACCUGGAAUAAAUUGGCAGCUUAUGAGGUUGGUGAAGUUCAUGAAAGGAAAAAGCAUUUAUGGAUUAGAGUUUCAAUCCCAAUUGCAAUGAUUACUCUGCUGAUCCUACUUGGGUUUCUAUCAUAUUAUAUAAAAAGCAGAAAACUUGAAUCAAAAGGUAAAGAUUUUCUUAUUUUUGCCUACUUAGACUCCAUUGUUUUGCUUUCUUUAGAAAUAGGUAAAUAUCUAUGAACAUGAUUCUUGACAGCAUUUGGAUUCUCUCUGUGUUUUAUGUUUCAGGGAAACUGAGUUUUGGUGAUACAGCAGUUGAUGAAUAUCAGUACCAAAAUGCUCCAAAUUUGCAAAUAUUCAAGUUUUCUGAAAUCAAAGCAGCUACAGGCAACUUUUCAUGCGAAAAUAGGCUUGGAGAGGGUGGAUAUGGACCUGUUUACAAGGUGAAUUUCAACAAAUCCUUCAUUUUAGGUGCUUCUUAUAAGGUUAAUAAAACUAGUAACUAUAUAUAUGUAUAUAAAAAUGAACUUGGAAUGAAUAUAUUCAAAUUGCUAUGUAUUUGAAUCAUUGGGUGUAAGAAAAUUCCAUAUUGACUAUUUUGUUGGGCUUCGUCAGGGUAAACUUGCAAAGGGAGGGGAAAUAGCAGUGAAAAGGCUUUCAAAAACUUCACAUCAAGGAUUUAAGGAGUUCAUGAAUGAAGUUAAACUUACAGCAAAGCUGCAACAUGUUAAUCUAAUAAGGCUUUUGGGAUUUUGCACUGAUAGAGGAGAGAAAAUGUUGAUAUACGAGUACAUGCCCAACAAAAGCUUGGAUUUCUAUUUGUUUGGUAAGUGAUAUAUUAUUUAUUUCCCUAUUUGGUUCUCUCUCCAGAUUAGAAAUAAUAAAAGAAGCUUAGGCUCGUAACUCUGUUUUUGAUGCAGAUCAAAAGAGAAGAUUGGAAUUGAAUUUGGAACGACGCGUUCAUAUCAUUGAAGGGAUUGCUCAAGGGCUUAUGUACCUUCAAGAAUACUCAAAUUUGACAAUAAUUCAUAGAGAUAUUAAAGCUAGCAACAUUUUACUAGACGAUGAGAUGAAGCCAAAGAUUUCUGAUUUUGGUAUGGCAAGAAUUUUGCAGAAGGAGAGCAACGAAGCCAAGACAGGCCAGAUUGUUGGGACAUAGUAAGUAAAUUGCUUCUUGAAAAGCAAUGUAUUUGAUAUCAUCUAACAAUUACAUACAUACAUAUACCAGAAUCCUCUCCUUAACCAUCCCUUUAUACCAGAACCAACCCAAAUUUCUCUAAGCUACAUCCAAGAUUUUCUCUAAGCUACAUCAUUGACUGAACAAGUUUUGACUUUGAUGAUAGCUUAAGUCUUCUGACACGUAACUGUUUCUUUUUUUUGAUAUCAUCUAACAAUUACAUACAUACAUAUACCAGAAUCCUCUCCUUAACCAUCCCUUUAUACCAGAACCAACCCAAAUUUCUCUAAGCUACAUCCAAGAUUUUCCGAAGGUGACAUCUUUUACUACAAAAUAAAUUGUUGACUAUAAAAUAAAUUGACUGUAAAAUUUUCGUUGUUUCAUCUUUAUCGGUCUUAAUCAAUACAUUGUUCACUCUAAAUAUAUAAAAAUAUAAAGAUGCACAUAUACACUCGUAGAGACAAUAUAAUAAAAUAUAAAAUUCUUAGAGCCAGUUAACUUUUAUAUAUAUAAUAUUUAUUUUAUAUUUUUAAAAGGAUAUUUUUUAUAUUUUUCAACUAUAUCUAAUUUGAUAUAUCUAAUUUUUACAUUUUACAUUAUUUUUACAUUGUUUGAUAUAUAAUUUUUCUAAGUUGAAAGAUUACGAAAUUAUAUCUAAAAUAUAUCUGUCAAAUAUCUUACCUAUCCAAUUCUCUCAUUUAAAUAUUUUACAAAGAAACAAAAAAAAGAAACAGUUACGUGUCAGAAGACUUAAGCUAUCAUCAAAGUCAAAACUUGUUCAGUCAAUGAUGUAGCUUAGAGAAAAUCUUGGAUGUAGCUUAGAGAAAUUUGUUCAGUCAAUGAUGUGUCCAUUACCAAAAUGUUGCCCAGAUAACAUAGCUUUGCCUUCUUCAAUCGAAAUUGUAUAAACAGGCAUACAAUUGCAUUUUAGAGUAAACAAUUUCUAUUCCAUGGAUGCUACCAUUGCAAUAUAUUAAAACAUCACCUAUUAAUUAAUAUUUUAUUCCUUUUUUCAUUCUAAUUAACCCCUUCAUUUGCAUUUAGCAAACGUUAAUAUUUAAUAAACAUUGAUUUUUUAUCAUUAAAUAAUAGAAAUACAAACUAAUGAUAUCAACUGGAAUUAUAAUUAAUAACCACUAAAUAAUGAAAUUACAGUAAUGUGAUUAACUAAUUGAAUUGAAAUAUAAUACCAAUUUAUUAAAGUUUUGCCUUAUAAUUAAAUCUUUUUAUAUUUUAUUUAAUUAUAAAAAAUUAACAAAUUAAUAAACAUUUCAAUUGAAUAUAUGAAGUUUCUAAAGUAAAAAGGACAUAAUUUAAUUUAUAAACAUUUCAAAAUAUUUCAAUCUAUUAAUUAAAAAUUUCAAUUUAUUACUUGAAAGUUUCAAAACGGAUAUAAUUUCACAUUGUAUCAUUUAAUUAAAAUAAAUUAUUUAAAUUAAAUGAACAACAAUUUUCUAAAAACAUUUAUCCUUCCAAUUGUUUAAAAAAAAUAUAAAAUUACACAAUAUGCCAACGGAAAUUAUAUAAACAUACUACUACUAGUAGUAAACUCAAAACUCUAUUAAUCUGUAGUCUAGGAUUCAUUAGUUAACUACCAAAGUAAGGGCCAAAAAGAAAUUAUUAACAUUUUUCUCCAAUUAACCACUAAGAUGUUUUCAAUGAAAAAAAGGGAAAAAGAAAACAUUUGAAAAAAGAAAAUCCAGACCAAGAAACGUUUUGAGUCGAGGCUCAGAUCUUAUUGUGUCAAUCAGGAAGGUGACCAGAGCUAUGGCUGCAACAAAGAAACUAAGUGCGACUGAGAGAGUUGGAGCCAAAAUAAAUAAAUAAAUAAAUAAACAAAGGGAAAAUAAUUAUUUCGUCCAUGAGGUUCGAAGCAAACAUUGUGCAGCCAAAAACGUUAUUACCCUUUUGAGUGUCUGAUUUCACUGAUCAGAAACAUCAUCACUGCCUCAAAAACACAAAGCUA
rnacentral:lncRNA from 1 species